UCUGCCUUGGAUGGGAUACGGCUGGAACAGCUGCUAAUACCGCAUAAUGCAGUUGAGUCGCAUGGCUCUGACUGCCAAAGAUUUAUCGCUCUGAGAUGGACUCGCGUCUGAUUAGCUAGUUGGUGGGGCAACGGCCCACCAAGGCGACGAUCAGUAGCCGGACUGAGAGGUUGGCCGGCCACAUUGGGACUGAGACACGGCCCAGACUCCUACGGAAGGCAGCAG
rnacentral:rRNA from 1 species